rnacentral:lncRNA from 1 species
CUCUGAUUGACCUAUUAGAGAGAGAUUGCAAUGGAGGAGAUUGCAAUGGAGAUGACUGCACUUCCUUACCAGUAUGCCUAUGGAACCACACGACAGUGGACAUUUGAAUCUGCAGCACCGGUUCAUUGAUCAAAAGGCACAGCUGUUUUGCUCCUGGGUGUUAACUCCACCUCUGGCAUUCUCUACUCCUCUCCUAUGCUAAUGCUGAGUUGCUGUUCAUUGAUAGAAGGCACUGGUGUUGACAGAUUUUGGAGGCUUUGAUGGAUGCACAUCUUUUAUCAUGCUCUCUGAUAGAAAAAUGAAGAAAGAAAAGAGAAAGCAAACCAAAACAAUGAUUUGACCACUUUCUAACAGAAAAACUCUGAAAGACAGGUAAUAGUUUCCAUCUGUCAAAAUUUAGAAAACAUUAAAAAUAAAGAAGAA